rnacentral:lncRNA from 1 species
GCAGCCUCUCUCUCCUCUCCCUCGAGUCGACCCUCUAUUCCUUUCUCUUCCUCUCAGAACCUAGCUCUAAUUUCUUGAAUCCAGCCCCAAUUGUACAAAAACUUUGGCCAUUCCUAUCCCAAAAACACGAUCUACGCAAGAUGCAAACCUCACCAACAUGAAUUUUAACCCCAAUAUCAUUUGAUUUUCGAAAUCCCCAAAUCCUUCGACCCAACCCUAGCUGCUUGUUUGAACUUUGAAGUGGUUGCUCAGAUGCUUGUACGGUGUUGAAGUGGUGGUUCAGAGCAGAAAAAUAUAGGUCAAGGAUGGAGCUGAUGGACAUCGUUGGAAAGUCAAAAGAAGAUGCCUCGCUUCCGAAAGCAACUGCUGCGCUGCAUUUGGGAGGUGCAAACUCUUCUACAACAACUGCUACUUGAAGAUUUGGAUGCUGCAAACUAUUGGUGCUGAAGAUAUAGCGGCUUGUUUUUUGUCAAGUGAUUGAAGUCAUCAAAUCAGUGAAUCAGAAGCAGAUUUUUGUUUGUUUGUAGUUCCUAUUAUGAAGUUAUGUAAUAUUUAAGUACACGUUUAGACUUUGAAAUCAGUCACGCACAUGAUUUCUGAACUUGUGUUCUUGUAAUGUGGAACUGGAAAAAAGCUAAACUAGAGAAACAUCAAGUCUAGAACUCUAUAAGAAGGUGAGAAAUAGGCUUGAUGAAGAUAUAUUAUCGGUGCUGAGUUGAGUAAUUGGUAUCCAUUGAAUAAAUAACUAAUCAGAAAAAAAGGAUUAUUAC